AGGAGAGAACCCAGCAAACUGACAGACCUGAAAUCAUGUCCUUUGAUUGUAAUUGACAGGAAAGCGUUUAAGAAAGCUCAGUGGACUGGAGAUCUCCUGGGAUGUCAUCUAUGGUAGCUUGGCCUAUUCUGAUGGACGGCUAUGAAGAUGAGGAUGUUUGGAACACUAUCCAAAAGUGCUGUUGGAGUCCACUUGAAGGAGGAAGAAAGGAUUGAGUUAAAGUCUUCAAUGGAGAUUUUUAUUAUCAGAUAAUCAAUCAUCCAACUGUAGCAACGCAUGGUACAGAGGUGUGAGAA